AUUGAACGCUGGCGGCAGGCUUAACACAUGCAAGUCGAGCGGAGCGAGGGUGCUUGCACCUUAGCUUAGCGGCGGACGGGUGAGUAAUGCUUAGGAAUCUGCCUAUUAGUGGGGGACAACAUUCCGAAAGGAAUGCUAAUACCGCAUACGCCCUACGGGGGAAAGCAGGGGAUCUUCGGACCUUGCGCUAAUAGAUGAGCCGAAGUCGGAUUAGCUAGUUGGUGGGGUAAAGGCCUACCAAGGCGACGAUCUGUAGCGGGUCUGAGAGGAUGAUCCGCCACCAUGGGACAGAGACACGGCCCAGACUCCUACGGGAGGCAGCAGUGGGGAAUAUUGGACAAUGGGCGGAAGCCUGAUCCAGCCAUGCCCCGUGUGUGAAGAAGGCCUUUUGGUUGUAAAGCACUUUAAGCGAGGAGGAGGCUACUUAGAUUAAUACUCUGGGAUAGUGGACGUUACUCGCAGAAUAAGCACCGGCUAACUCUGUGCCAGCCGCCGCGGUAA
rnacentral:rRNA from 1 species